AAAAGAGAGCUUGAUUGCAAGACAUACAGGUCGAGCAAGGAUGAAAAUCGGACUUAGUGAUCCGGUGGUUCUGCGUGGAAGGGCCAUCGCUCAACGGAUAAAAGCUACCCUGGGGAUAACAGGCUUAUCUCCCCCAAGAGUCCACAUCGACGGGGAGGUUUGGCACCUCGCUGUCGGCUCAUCACAUCCUGGGGCUGUAGUAGGUCCCAAGGGUUGGGCUGUUCGCCCAUUAAAGUGGUACGCGAGCUGGGUUCAGA
rnacentral:rRNA from 1 species